GGGCCGCACGCGCGCUACACUGACGGAGCCAACGAGUACUAACCUUGGCCGAGAGGUCUGGGUAAUCUUGUUAAACUCCGUCGUGCUGGGGAUAGAGCAUUGUAAUUAUUGCUCUUCAACGAGGAAUUCCUAGUAAGCGCAAGUCAUCAGCUUGCGUUGAUUACGUCC
rnacentral:rRNA from 1 species